rnacentral:rRNA from 1 species
ACAGAGGGUGCAAACGUUGCUCGGAAUUACUGGGCGUAAAGCGCGUGUAGGCGGACCUUCAAGUCGGACGUGAAAGCCCUAAGCUCAACUUAGGAACUGCAUCCGAAACUGAAGGCCUAGAGUGGUGGAGAGGAAAGCAGAAUUCCUGGUGUAGAGGUGAAAUUCGUAGAUAUCAGGAGGAACACCGGUGGCGAAGGCGGCUUUCUGGACACUUACUGACGCUGAGACGCGAAAGCGUGGGGAGCAAACAGGAUUAGAUACCCUGGUAGUCCACGCCGUAAACGAUGAGUGCUAGGUGUCGUGGGUUUUGACCCCCUCGGUGCCGUAGCUAACGCGUUAAGCACUCCGCCUGGGGAGUACGGCCGCAAGGCUA